GGGUUGUGAGGUUAAGCGACUAAGCGUACACGGUGGAUGCCCUGGCAGUCAGAGGCGAUGAAGGACGUGCUAAUCUGCGAAAAGCGUCGGUAAGGUGAUAUGAACCGUUAUAACCGGCGAUGUCCGAAUGGGGAAACCCAGUGCAAUUCGUUGCACUAUCGUUAACUGAAUACAUAGGUUAACGAGGCGAACCGGGGGAACUGAAACAUCUAAGUACCCCGAGGAAAAGAAAUCAACCGAGAUUCCCCCAGUAGCGGCGAGCGAACGGGGAGCAGCCCAGAGUCUGAAUCAGCUUGUGUGUUAGUGGAACGGUCUGGAAAGUCCGACGGUACAGGGUGAUAGUCCCGUACACCAAAAUGCACAGGCUGUGAACUCGAAGAGUAGGGCGGGACACGUGGUAUCCUGUCUGAAUAUGGGGGGACCAUCCUCCAAGGCUAAAUACUCCUGACUGACCGAUAGUGAACCAGUACCGUGAGGGAAAGGCGAAAAGAACCCCGGCGAGGGGAGUGAAAAAGAACCUGAAACCGUGUACGUACAAGCAGUGGGAGCACCUUCGGGUGUGACUGCGUACCUUUUGUAUAAUGGGUCAGCGACUUAUAUUCUGUAGCAAGGUUAACCGUAUAGGGGAGCCGCAGGGAAACCGAGUCUUAACUGGGCGUUAAGUUGCAGGGUAUAGACCCGAAACCCGGUGAUCUAGCCAUGGGCAGGUUGAAGGUUGGGUAACACUAACUGGAGGACCGAACCGACUAAUGUUGAAAAAUUAGCGGAUGACUUGUGGCUGGGGGUGAAAGGCCAAUCAAACCGGGAGAUAGCUGGUUCUCCCCGAAAGCUAUUUAGGUAGCGCCUCGUGAACUCAUCUUCGGGGGUAGAGCACUGUUUCGGCUAGGGGGUCAUCCCGACUUACCAACCCGAUGCAAACUACGAAUACCGAAGAAUGUUAUCACGGGAGACACACGGCGGGUGCUAACGUCCGUCGUGAA
rnacentral:rRNA from 1 species